UCGAACGGUACAGGACUAGCUUGCUAGUUGCUGACGAGUGGCGGACGGGUGAGUAACGCGUAGGAAUCUACCCAUCUGAGGGGGAUACCAGUUGGAAACGACUGUUAAUACCGCAUAGUAUCUGUGGAUUAAAGGUGGCUUUUGGGCUGUCGCAGAUGGAUGAGCCUGCGUUGGAUUAGCUAGUUGGUGGGGUAAGGGCCUACCAAGGCUACGAUCCAUAGCUGAUUUGAGAGGAUGAUCAGCCACAUUGGGACUGAGACACGGCCCAAACUCCUACGGGAGGCAGCAGUGAGGAAUAUUGGACAAUGGGGGCAACCCUGAUCCAGCAAUGCCAUGUGUGUGAAGAAGGCCUUAGGGUUGUAAAGCACUUUAGUUGGGGAAGAAAGCUUUGAGGUUAAUAGCCUUGAGGAAAAGGACGUUACCCAAAGAAUAAGCACCGGCUAACUCCGUGCCAGCAGCCGCGGUAAUACGGGGGGUGCAAGCGUUAAUCGGAAUUACUGGGCGUAAAGGGUCUGUAGGUGGUUUGUUAAGUCAGAUGUGAAAGCCUAGGGCUCAACCUUGGAACUGCAUUUGAUACUGGUAAACUAGAGUACGGUAGAGGAAUGGGGAAUUUCUGGUGUAGCGGUGAAAUGCGUAGAGAUCAGAAGGAACACCAAUGGCGAAGGCAACAUUCUGGACCGAUACUGACACUGAGGGACGAAAGCGUGGGGAUCAAACAGGAUUAGAUACCCUGGUAGUCCACGCUGUAAACGAUGAGUACUAGCUGUUGGAGUCGGUGUAAAGGCUCUAGUGGCGCACGUAACGCGAUAAGUACUCCGCCUGGGGACUACGGCCGCAAGGCUAAAACUCAAAGGAAUUGACGGGGACCCGCACAAGCGGUGGAGCAUGUGGUUUAAUUCGAUGCAACGCGAAGAACCUUACCUGGUCUUGACAUCCUGCGAUCUUUCUAGAGAUAGAUUGGUGCCUUCGGGAACGCAGUGACAGGUACUGCACGGCUGUCGUCAGCUCGUGUUGUGAAAUGUUGGGUUAAGUCCCGCAACGAGCGCAACCCCUAUUGAUAGUUACCAUCAUUAAGUUGGGUACUCUAUUGAGACUGCCGCUGACAAGGCGGAGGAAGGUGGGGACGACGUCAAGUCAUCAUGGCCUUUACGACCAGGGCUAC
rnacentral:rRNA from 1 species